GAUGAACGCUAGCGGCAGGCUUAACACAUGCAAGUCGAGGGGCAGCGCGGGAUAGCAAUAUCCUGGCGGCGACCGGCGGAAGGGUGCGUAACGCGUGAGCGACAUGCCCGUUGCCCGGGGACAACCGGUGGAAACGCCGACUAAUCCCCGAUGGGAUAUUGUGCCGCAUGGCACGAUAUUGAAAGUUACGGCGGCGACGGAUUGGCUCGCGUCCGAUUAGCUGGUUGGCGGGGUAACGGCCCACCAAGGCUGCGAUCGGUAGGGGUUCUGAGAGGAAGGCCCCCCACAAUGGGACUGAGACACGGCCCAUACUCCUACGGGAGGCAGCAGGGAGGAAUAUUGGUCAAUGGGCGGAAGCCUGAACCAGCCAUGCCGCGUGCGGGAAGGAGGCCCUAUGGGCUGUGAACCGCUUUUGCCUGGGGGCAAUAAGGGCGUCGCGCACGUCCGAUGAGAGUACCAGGCGAAUAAGCAUCGGCUAACUCCGUG
rnacentral:rRNA from 1 species